GGCCGGAGUGGAAAAGCACGUUUAAAUCCCGAGCUCGCCUUUCCCACGUGGUGUCUCGCUGAGCUGCUGUCACAGCCACGCCGCGCUCUCUCAGGGCACCGGAGCUUCUCCCCUGCCCUGCCGGGAAGGCACAAGGAGGCAGCCUUCAUCGAGCGAGGAGAGCGAAUCUUGGCAAAAAGAGCACCGAAGGAUGUGAACCCCUUGGAAAAUUCCACUUCCUGCCCAGCACUGCGUGUCCUUGGGUCUCUCACUCAUUCCCAUGCACUUAACGAGGGAUUUCUGCCUCAGGCUACCACACCAACUUUCUAAAUAAAUGCCGCGCACACCCGAGCGCGGUGCUCUGCAGUUAA